rnacentral:misc_RNA from 1 species
ACGCCUGAUUAAACAGGUUCAUCAUGAAACUUUCUAUGACUAAGAAAUUAAGAAUUAAUUUGACAAAUUAAGUUGAGUCAAAAGCAGAAUAAAAAAGCAAAAAAAUGGAAUAGAAGUCUGGUUGAAAAUAUAUAAACCAAUGAAAGAAAUCAAACAAGCAAAUCCCAUGAAAGAAAAACAUAACAAAAAGGCUAAAAAAAAAAAAAAUCCUUUACCAAUUGAAAAUGGAAUAAACUUGAUCU